rnacentral:tmRNA from 1 species
GGGGACGUUAUGGAUUAGACAGGAUGUUCGGUUGAGAUAGGUUGCGAGUCCGUGCGCUGUUCACGGUUAUCAACGAGCAAAACAAAUUAAAUGCUAACAAUGUAAUCAAAGCAGACUUCUCUAGAGCUUAUGCUUUAGCAGCGUAGUCGCUAAUAGCUACUCAUAUAUCCCAGCUUGCCGGAGAUAUGGGUCCAUUAUGCAAGCGGCAGUGCAUCAAUGACGGUAGAUGCAUCAAGACGACCGUUAAAGGUUAGUGUUUCCGUAAAAAACACUUUGAAUUAUUUAAAAGGUUCUGAUAUUCCCUGAAUAAUUUGAGCGAAUUAAUAUCUACACCCGUAGAGAUUUAUCGAGAUCCAUUUUGGACAGGGGUUCAAUUCCCCUCGUCUCCA